rnacentral:rRNA from 1 species
AUUGAACGCUGGCGGCAUGCCUUACACAUGCAAGUCGAACGGUAACGCGGGGCAACCUGGCGACGAGUGGCGAACGGGUGAGUAAUGUAUCGGAACGUGCCCAGCUGUGGGGGAUAACUGCUCGAAAGAGCAGCUAAUACCGCAUACGACCUGAGGGUGAAAGCGGGGGAUCGCAAGACCUCGCGCAAUUGGAGCGGCCGAUAUCAGAUUAGGUAGUUGGUGGGGUAAAGGCCCACCAAGCCAACGAUCUGUAGCUGGUCUGAGAGGAAGACCAGCCACACUGGGACUGAGCGACGGCCCAGACUCCUACGGGAGGCAGCAGUGGGGAAUUUUGGACAAUGGACGCAAGUCUGAUCCAGACAUGCCGCGUGCGGGAAGAAGGCCUUCGGGUUGUAAACCGCUUUUGUCAGGGAAGAAAAGGGCGACUCUAAUACAGUUGCCUCAUGACGGUACCUGAAGAAUAAGCACCGGCUAACUACGUGCCAGCCGCCGCGGUAAGAC